CCUACGGGGGGCAGCAGUGGGGAAUAUUGCACAAUGGGCGCAAGCCUGAUGCAGCCAUACCGCGUGUGUGAAGAAGGCCUUCGGGUUGUAAAGCACUUUCAGCGGGGAGGAAGGCGUUAAGGUUAAUAACCUUGUCGAUUGACGUUACCCGCAGAAGAAGCACCGGCUAACUCCGUGCCAGCAGCCGCGGUAAUACGGAGGGUGCAAGCGUUAAUCGGAAUUACUGGGCGUAAAGCGCACGCAGGCGGUCUGUCAAGUCGGAUGUGAAAUCCCCGGGCUCAACCUGGGAGCUGCAUUCGAAACUGGCAGGCUAGAGUCUUGUAGAGGGGGGUAGAAUUCCAGGUGUAGCGGUGAAAUGCGUAGAGAUCUGGAGGAAUACCGGUGGCGAAGGCGGCCCCCUGGACAAAGACUGACGCUCAGGUGCGAAAGCGUGGGGGGCAAACAGGAUUAGAUACCCUGGUAGUC
rnacentral:rRNA from 1 species